rnacentral:lncRNA from 1 species
CAACCUCUGGGCUAACAGGAGUCGGAUCGCCCGACCCCGACGGAAACAGCUCCGCCGCUACUCCCGGCUGUCCUCGACCAGCCGCAGCUGGUGCUGCCACCAGCCGAUCCACGGUCUCUUGGAGUCGUUCCAUUCGCUCCUCCUGGCGCAUGGCAGCCUCCUGCUGCCGCUGCACCAUAUCAGCUUGUUGCCUCAUCACUCCUACGAGUGUGGCCAGCUGAUCACGAAGCUCUGCACCUUCGCUCGCGUCAGUUCGCUCAGGGGCACCACUCGUCCCCUCCCGCGCCGAUCUAGAUGAAGAUCGCCUUCGC